rnacentral:rRNA from 1 species
UUAAACUAAGAAUAUAAGGGUAGAGCUUUAUAUUCAAAAAUAAAUUGGAGAUGAAUUAGAUAGAUAAUGAUUUAUAAAUUAGGCUUUUUAGUGGCCAUAUUUUUAAAGUAUUUUAACUAUUAAAAUUAAAAAGUUUUGUUUUUUUAUUCUCUUUGGUUAUAAGUAGUAGGAUAUAUUUAUAUUAAAAUUAAAUUAGGAAUAAUGAAAAUAUUAGUAGAAGUAUUUGUUGAAUUUAAAAUAAUAGAAUUUCAAAAAUAAUUUAAUGUAUAAAUAGGAGUAUUAAAGGAAUUCGGCAAAAUUUUUUUUUCUUGCCUGUUUAACAAAAACAUGUCUGUAUGAAGUUAUAUAGAGUCUGGCCUGCCCGUUGAAGAAAUUUGAAAGGCCGCGGUAUAUUAACUGUGCAAAGGUAGCAUAAUCAUUAGCUUUUUAAUUGAAGGCUUGUAUGAAGGGUCUGACAAAGAAAAAUCUGUCUUUAAUUUUAAAAUUGAAAUUAACUUUUAAGUGAAAAGGCUUAAUUGAAUUUAAGGGACGAUAAGACCCUAUAAAUCUUUAUAUUAAACUUUUAUUUUUGAAAUUAAUAUUUUGUAUAGGUUAUUAAAUAAGUAGUAAAUAUUUUGUUGGGGUGAUAAGAAUAUAAUUAUUAACUGUUCUAUAUAAACCAGAGUUGUUUGUUAAGUAAAGAUCCUUUAUUAAAGAUUAAAAGUUUAAGUUACUUUAGGGAUAACAGCGUUAUUUUUUUUGAGAGUUCUUAUCGAAAAGAAAGUUUGCGACCUCGAUGUUGAAUUAAAAUUUCUCUACGGUGUAGAAGUUGUAGAUGAAAGUCUGUUCGACUUUUAAAAUUUU